ACCCCAUCAAGCAGCAGGCUAUGGAGCCGGCCCGGCAGAUGGGGGACACGGGACUGGCCGAGGGGGAAACCAACUCUCUGCUCCCACUGCAUAGCGGCAGUGGCGUCAUGAGGUGGGUGCGGCCCGCACCCGGGUGUCACCCUUCUAUAGGGUGACACCAAAACGAGCCGCGCACUCACACGCACCCCCAUCCCCUGACAUGAGAAACACUGGUCCACGGCUGAGACCAUACCCCCUCCUUCCAGGCCCCGCCUCCUAAAGUCCGACACUCUCACCUGUUUAGUGAGAUCAGCAGGCAGCGCAGUACAGAGCCGUGCAGGCAGUGCAGUGGCCGACCCUACCCUUUCCUCCAGAGUCCGGACACUCUCUCCUCACUCGGGUCCUGAGCCUGACACACACAAGCUCCGCCUCCCACACUAUACUACAGGAGGAAGGAGCUGCUGGUGAUGUGCUGCAUGAUGCCAGCCAGACUCUGAGUGAAAAGUUCUUGCAUCAUCAUGAGAAGCAGAAGCAGAUGCCUCACUGACAGUUGCAGAACCAUGACUUAUAAAUAAAGGCCAAGGCCUGACUCUUUCCUUGCCACUUUGUGUGGUGAAUUACAUAUUGCCAAUUUUA